UUGUUUGGGGCUGGAGACGGCACAGAAAAUCUAGUAGAUCAUCAUCCUCAGACGGGCCCCAACGGGAUCAUCCUCCGAGGGACAGUUCUUCGCCGCCGAGGGAGAACUGCAGCCCCUUAGGGGAAUAUCGUCGAGGAAGCAUCGUCAUGCAACCUCUCUAGGAAGGGAGGCUGAUAGGAUGGAAUGUGAAAAAAACCUCACACUCUUUGGCAAGGAAAGGAACUCUGGAGUCCUUAUUUGGGAGAACUGACUAAUAAAGUCCGGUAGACAUGAUCCCACUGUACCAAUCACUUCCAUUUCUCUCUUAACCCAAUUAUGCAACAAAAGGAGCUCACCUUCGACAAUCUCUCCACAAGGAUCCUUAUCUUCGAUGGCCAAACAAGAAAAUGGGAAAAUCAAAAUAAAAGAGGUGUCCUCCAGUGAUAUUGGGCCGAUAAGUAAAUAAGCCUAGAGGUUGAAUGUCAAUAUCAAUCAAUGAAAUUCUUUAUUUUUGCACACGGAAAUCACAAUGAGAUCAACCAAUGAAAUAGGAUUUUGUGUGUUUCCCAUAUAGAAGACUACUCUAUAAAUAGACAAUAAUGAUAAAAUACGUAAAGAAUCUCACAAUGUCCCUCUGGUUUUCAAUUAAGUAAAUCCAUUCACGAUAAUGAGCAGUAAAAGUUAUUGCAAAUAGUUAAUAACUUCAAAAUAAAACAACUGUUACUCAUACAAAUGGUUCCUUUGCCCAGUCAGGGUAAAAUUUCGGAUUUUUAAGUGUAUUAAAUUAAGAUGAAAAUUUUAAUUUGAUACGGGA